UGCUCAGAGAACAACACCUGCUGCUGAUCAAAUGUGCUGUGGGCUGUACUUUCCUUCCCUUCUAUCUUUUUAAAAGGUUGGCUGCACUUCCUUCUCCACAGAAAGCACCACUCCUCAGUAACGUUCCUAUGUACCCAAAGCAAGGCUGAAAGGGGUGCAGUGGGGCAUGUUCUACUCACAGAAACUGCAGCAGGUGGAGGUGAGAGAAAGCCCCCUCAGGAAUCUCAGUGAAGGCAGCGUUCACCAUCGUCCUACAAGCAAAAGAGCAACAAUGAUCAGAAACGUACAGUACCAGCCAAAGCUUUAGACUUUCUUUUGUUUCUCGUCUUCCACCCAGCGUAAAGAGGUCGGAGAUGGGUGUCUACCACCUAGACUAAUUAAAAUGGUUGAAGACUUCCAAAGCAUCCUUCUUUUCACGAUUCAGAAAAUGUUUCAUGUGGAUAUACAUGCUACCAUAACAACACAAUGAAACGUCUGCCAGGAAAAUCCACUAAAAUCACAUAGAUUUGUAUCCAGACAGGACUACAUUUACUGAGUUUGGUGUGAUUAUCUCAGGAGAGGAGGGAGACAAACAGACAUGGCCGAUCCAGAUGGAAAUAAAAUCAGAGUGGCAUCUGUGAAAGAGGACAUCAGCCAGGACACUGUGUAAAUUUAUCCUGUGCAAACAGGUCUUUACACACGUUUCUCCUUUACCCAAGUGUCUUCAAUCGGCCAAGACAAGUUUGAUGUCUGAAUGUUAUAUCUGUGCUUUUGUGCUGGAGCUAUGAGGCUAAUGUAGCUACCAAAUGAUGGAAGCUUAUAACCACCAAUUAGCGUAGUUCUAGCUGCAACAACACACUUGUGUCUGUGGUUUCUGGUGCUGCAUGACAUACACUGUUAGAAAUAAAGGUACCAUGAUUCGUUCAUCCAGGUACAAACAAUGUAAAUGUAGCCUCAAAGGUACAGCAGUGGUUUUAAGGUCCAAUGGUGUACCUUACAUGAGUUUUUCCUAGUGGAAAAGUAGAUAUUUCUAUCUUUUUAUGAACUAAUGUUUUACGACAGAACAAUAAAAUAAAAGCCUGGAGGCGAGACGGGGUGUGUGGUGUCAGUACAGCUUAAGAAAUACAAUUUCAGUGGAUUCUGGUUCAAUUAUGUUCCCUGACUAAAGGUACUGGGAUGUACCCCUGAGGGUCCCACCGUGACAAGAAGGGUCCUGCCCCAGUAACAGUGUCGUACCUUUUUUCUGAGAGUGUACUGUAGUCUAUAAAAAGUUUUAAAAAGUAGUAAAAUUACUUGAGAUUUCCCAACUUGAAGUGGUUUGAGUCAUCAAACAUGAUGACUGAGGCAUGUAAUGCACUUGUCUAACCUGUUAGCUGUGCGCUUGCAUUACUUGCUAGUUACUUUAGCCCCUUUUCACAGUAGCCAGAAAAAGCAAUUAGCGCCUGUUUCAGAGUCAGUAGAAUGAUGCAUUUUUUCCCCUCAGUUAUGUUGAUGGGGUAUAAUAUUUUGAGGGAAAUGUGUAUACUUUAUAAAACUACAAAUGGGAUUUUCAACUCUAACCCUGCUAGAAAAAAAACGCAUACACCAGCAUUGUUGGUCACCAGCAAAACCAGCAUAUGUUAUGCUUUGGAUGCUGGUAUGCUGGCCAACCAGUAUGACCAUGCUGGGGUUACCAGCUAAACCAGAUCCAGGCCAGCACUAGACCAGCUUAAAUCAUCUUAGACCAGCU